rnacentral:rRNA from 1 species
UAGUCCACGCCGUAAACGAUGUCAACUAGCCGUUGGGUCCAUUUAAGGGCUUAGUGGCGCAGCUAACGCGAUAAGUUGACCGCCUGGGGAGUACGCCGGCAACGGUAAAACUCAAAUGAAUUGACGGGGGCCCGCACAAGCGGUGGAGCAUGUGGUUUAAUUCGAUGCAACGCGAAAAACCUUACCUACCCUUGACAUCCUCAGAACUUGUUAGAGAUAACUUGGUGCCUUAGGGAAUGCGAACACAGGUGCUGCAUGGCUGUCGUCAGCUCGUGUCGUGAGAUGUUGGGUUAAGUCCCGCAACGAGCGCAACCCUCGUCCUUAGUUGCCAGCAUUUAGUUGGGCACUCUAGGGAGACUGCCGGUGCUAAGCCGGAGGAAGGUGGGGAUGACGUCAAGUCCUCAUGGCCCUUACGGGUAGGGCUACACACGUGCUACAAUGGCGCUGACAGAGGGUUAAUCCCUAAAAGGCGUCUCAGUUCGGAUUGUCUUCUGCAACUCGAAGGCAUGAAGUUGG